rnacentral:rRNA from 1 species
CCUACGGGAGGCUGCAGUGAGGAAUAUUGGUCAAUGGGCGGAAGGCUGAACCAGCCAUGCCGCGUGAAGGUCAGUGCCCUAUGGGCGUUAAACUUCUUUUGUGCGGGAGCAAUAAUGGUCACGUGUGGCCAGACGAGAGUACCGUACGAAUAAGCAUCGGCUAACCCCGUGCCAGCAGCCGAGGUAAUACGGGGGAUGCAAGCGUUAUCCGGGUUUAUUGGGGUUAAAGGGGGCGUAGGCUGUGAGGUAAGUCAGCGGUGAAAUGCCCCCGCGCAACGGGGUGAAGUGCCAUUGAUACUGCCUGGCUGGAAUGCGGAUGCCGUGGGAGGAAUGUGUGGUGUAGCGGUGAAAUGCAUAGAUAUCACACAGAACACCGAUUGCGAAGGCAUCUCACGAAUCCGCGAUUGACGCUGAUGCACGAAAGCGUGGGUAUCAAACAGGAUUAGAUACCCGUGUAGUC